rnacentral:rRNA from 1 species
CCUACGGGAGGCAGCAGUGGGGAAUAUUGGACAAUGGGGGGAACCCUGAUCCAGCCAUGCCGCGUGUGUGAAGAAGGCCCUCGGGUUGUAAAGCACUUUCAGUGAGGAAGAACGCCUGGUGGUUAAUACCCAUCAGGAAAGACAUCACUCACAGAAGAAGCACCGGCUAACUCCGUGCCAGCAGCCGCGGUAAUACGGAGGGUGCGAGCGUUAAUCGGAAUUACUGGGCGUAAAGCGCGCGUAGGUGGCUUGAUAAGCCGGUUGUGAAAGCCCCGGGCUCAACCUGGGAACGGCAUCCGGAACUGUCAAGCUAGAGUGCAGGAGAGGAAGGUAGAAUUCCCGGUGUAGCGGUGAAAUGCGUAGAGAUCUGGAGGAAUACCAGUGGCGAAGGCGGCCUUCUGGACUGGCACUGACACUGAGGUGCGAAAGCGUGGGUAGCAAACAGGAUUAGAUACCCCGGUAGUC